rnacentral:rRNA from 1 species
UACGUAGGGCGCAAGCGUUAUCCGGAAUUAUUGGGCGUAAAGAGCUCGUAGGCGGUUUGUCGCGUCUGCCGUGAAAGUCCGGGGCUCAACUCCGGAUCUGCGGUGGGUACGGGCAGACUAGAGUGAUGUAGGGGAGACUGGAAUUUUUGGUGUAGCGGUGGAAUGCGCAGAUAUCAGGAGGAACACCGGUGGCGAAGGCGGGUCUCUGGGCAGUAACUGACGCUGAGGAGCGAAAGCGUGGGGAGCGAACAGG